AACACCGUGCACCGGCAGCCGGAGACGAGAGGAUCUCUUGGAUGGUGAGAGGUGUGCACCCGGCGUUGACUCGGAUGGUGCAUUUAAAUCGGCGGAAAUCAAAUGCCACCGCCGCCGGGCCUCGCACCGGGUUCUCUCGUCUUUGGUUUUUGUGUCCCACACUUUUUACAACUUGUACUUUUUGUGCGUGCAUUUGGUAUUUGUCGGUGUCGAAAUCAAUUGACAACUUCUGACGGUGGAUCUCUAGGCUCGUGCAUCGAUGAAGAACGCAGCAAGCUGCGAUACCUAGUGUGAAUUGCAGAAUUCAGUGAAUCAUCGAGUCUUUGAACGCAAAUGGCGCUCCCGGGGUCUCCUCGGGAGCAGGUCUGUCCGAGCGUCUGCCUGCCAAACAAGUUGUCGUACGUGACGACAAGAGUGAGGAGCUGCGAUUGCGGGUCAUUCUGCACUCCUUUAAAAACUUGUGUCCGUGUGUGGCCGUACGAUGUGACAAGACGGUCUCCCGGAAAGACAGUCGUCACAACGGCGUAACAAGUUGUUUCGCUGUCUCCGUGGCUUGUCCUUGUCACGCGUGAUCCACACGCAUCAGGAAUGC
rnacentral:misc_RNA from 1 species